AUACGGAGGGUGCAAGCGUUAUCCGGAAUCAUUGGGUUUAAAGGGUCCGCAGGCGGAUUAAUAAGUCAGUGGUGAAAUCCUCUCGCUCAACGAGAGAACUGCCAUUGUAACUGUUAGUCUUGAAUUCGGUCGAAGUAGGCGGAAUGUGUCAUGUAGCGGUGAAAUGCAUAGAUAUGACACAGAACACCGAUAGCGAAGGCAGCUUACUAGACCUGGAUUGACGCUCAUGGACGAAAGCGUGGGGAGCGAACAGGAUUAGAAACCCGGGUAGUCC
rnacentral:rRNA from 1 species